AGAGUUUGAUCCUGGCUCAGGAUGAACGCUGGCGGCGUGCCUAAUACAUGCAAGUCGAGCGAACGGACGAGAAGCUUGCUUCUCUGAUGUUAGCGGCGGACGGGUGAGUAACACGUGGAUAACCUACCUAUAAGACUGGGAUAACUUCGGGAAACCGGAGCUAAUACCGGAUAAUAUUUUGAACCGCAUGGUUCAAAAGUGAAAGACGGUCUUGCUGUCACUUAUAGAUGGAUCCGCGCUGCAUUAGCUAGUUGGUAAGGUAACGGCUUACCAAGGCAACGAUGCAUAGCCGACCUGAGAGGGUGAUCGGCCACACUGGAACUGAGACACGGUCCAGACUCCUACGGGAGGCAGCAGUAGGGAAUCUUCCGCAAUGGGCGAAAGCCUGACGGAGCAACGCCGCGUGAGUGAUGAAGGUCUUCGGAUCGUAAAACUCUGUUAUUAGGGAAGAACAUAUGUGUAAGUAACUGUGCACAUCUUGACGGUACCUAAUCAGAAAGCCACGGCUAACUACGUGCCAGCAGCCGCGGUAAUACGUAGGUGGCAAGCGUUAUCCGGAAUUAUUGGGCGUAAAGCGCGCGUAGGCGGUUUUUUAAGUCUGAUGUGAAAGCCCACGGCUCAACCGUGGAGGGUCAUUGGAAACUGGAAAACUUGAGUGCAGAAGAGGAAAGUGGAAUUCCAUGUGUAGCGGUGAAAUGCGCAGAGAUAUGGAGGAACACCAGUGGCGAAGGCGACUUUCUGGUCUGUAACUGACGCUGAUGUGCGAAAGCGUGGGGAUCAAACAGGAUUAGAUACCCUGGUAGUCCACGCCGUAAACGAUGAGUGCUAAGUGUUAGGGGGUUUCCGCCCCUUAGUGCUGCAGCUAACGCAUUAAGCACUCCGCCUGGGGAGUACGACCGCAAGGUUGAAACUCAAAGGAAUUGACGGGGACCCGCACAAGCGGUGGAGCAUGUGGUUUAAUUCGAAGCAACGCGAAGAACCUUACCAAAUCUUGACAUCCUUUGACAACUCUAGAGAUAGAGCCUUCCCCUUCGGGGGACAAAGUGACAGGUGGUGCAUGGUUGUCGUCAGCUCGUGUCGUGAGAUGUUGGGUUAAGUCCCGCAACGAGCGCAACCCUUAAGCUUAGUUGCCAUCAUUAAGUUGGGCACUCUAAGUUGACUGCCGGUGACAAACCGGAGGAAGGUGGGGAUGACGUCAAAUCAUCAUGCCCCUUAUGAUUUGGGCUACACACGUGCUACAAUGGACAAUACAAAGGGCAGCGAAACCGCGAGGUCAAGCAAAUCCCAUAAAGUUGUUCUCAGUUCGGAUUGUAGUCUGCAACUCGACUACAUGAAGCUGGAAUCGCUAGUAAUCGUAGAUCAGCAUGCUACGGUGAAUACGUUCCCGGGUCUUGUACACACC
rnacentral:rRNA from 3 species